rnacentral:rRNA from 1 species
CAAUAAGCGGAGGAAAGAAACCAACUGGGAUUGCCUCAGUAACGGCGAGUGAAGCGGCAAAAGCUCAAAUUUGAAAUCUGGCCCCGUCAGGUGCCCGAGUUGUAAUUUGGAGAGGACACUUCGGGUGUGGCUGCGGUGUAAGUCCCUUGGAACAGGGCGUCAUAGAGGGUGAGAGUCCCGUCUUGCACCGUUGGCCCACUCCCAUGUGAAGUUCCUUCGAUGAGUCGAGUUGUUUGGGAAUGCAGCUCUAAGUGGGUGGUAAAUUUCAUCUAAAGCUAAAUAUUGGCCAGAGACCGAUAGCGAACAAGUAGAGUGAUCGAAAGGUUAAAAGCACCUUGAAAAGGGAGUUAAAUAGCACGUGAAAUUGUUGAAAGGGAAGCGCUUGCAACCAGACUUGGCUACAGGGGCUCAGCGGGCAUGCUUGCCCGUGUACUCCCCUGUAAUUGGGCCAGCAUCAGUUCUGGCGGUUGGUGAAAGGCCCCUGGAAUGUGUCGUCCUCCGGGACGUCUUAUAGCCAGGGGUGCAAUGCUGCCAGCCGGGACUGAGGAACGCGCUUCGGCACGGAUGCUGGCAUAAUGGUUGUAAGCGGCCCGUCUUGAAACACGGACCCA